rnacentral:lncRNA from 1 species
AUGUUGUCUCUGUCAAGAGAAAUGUGUCUGAUAUGCACUGGACAGAUCUCUGAAGAAAUAAAGGUUUUAUUUUCCCGUUCAUGUCUUUCACCUGAUGUUCAGAUUCACAGCUGCAGCAGUGUCACAGCACCUAACUUCAGUAUUCCUCACGUGGCUGUCUGCAAGCAGCUUCUGAGCAUGUUUCUCGCUCCCCAGUUUCAGACAUCAGCUUGGACCCAGGAUGUGUCACAGCUCAGUCCCCCUUGCCCAGACUGACUGGUUCCCGAUGCAGUGUGGAGGGAGCUGAUAGAUGUCAGCUAAGAUAGAAAACUGCGUUCAGCUGGAUGAAUCUCCCACUGGAUAUUCAGCUGUCUGCCAGUGAUUUGUAUUGAUUUUCCCAGAUACAUUCUUUCUUAUCUGGUCUUUCAUAAAUGCUUUCUUGAUGCCACAUUUCCUUUGCUUUUGAUGGAUAUGCUUUUACUUUCCCGUGUCAGAAUGCUCUUUGAACAGCCUGUAACUACGAAACUCCUCUGUCUCACCAUUCAAAAAGGCAGUGAUAGCUAGCUCGCCUGGGCAGAAAACUCUCCCGUAAAUAGCAUGCUUAUUUGGCAAGGGGUGGUUUUGUUAGGCGGGGAAGACAUUUCAUGGCAAUUUUGAUCACUAGAUAUUUAGGUUCAGAAAUAUCUUUAUCCACUUUGGGAAUGCACUUCCUGUUUUGACUUGCACUCUAAAUAUAUAUAAUUUUUAAAUUACAGGUUUACGUCAAGAGAACAAUUUAGUCAAGUAUUACUUUCCUUGGAGAACACAUCCUUGUUGUUACUCACAAAUUAUGGCAUGCAUUCAGGCAUAAAGAAUGUACGGAUAUAUUAAUCGGAAACCAUGAUCCCCAUUACGGGUUUUCUGUAGGAAACAGCUCUUCUGGAUGUGGGGACAACUGAUACUAAGCAGCUAACAUAAAUUGCAAAGGAGGCCUGGCCUGAUUGGAGGUGCAGGGGGUUAGUGGUUACAGGACCUCACAGGACAAGAGGAUACGACAGAGAUUUUGGAGGAUCCAGUUAAUACCCUGACAUCUCCUUGUAUUACGAAAGAUUUGCAUAUAGUCUCUUAGUACAGCAUAGCUGAGAGAGCCCAUUGUCAGGGUGUUAGGGCAGAGUGUUUACACCUUCUGAGAAGAAAAAUUACAUUGUCAGCGAAAGGAAAUAAAUAGGUAAUGUUACAGGGUGCA